GAUGAACGCUAGCGAUAGGCCUAACACAUGCAAGUCGAGGGGCAUCACAUGAAGUAGCAAUACGGAUGGUGGCGACCGGCGCACGGGUGAGUAACACGUAUGCAACCUGCCUUCAACAAGGGGAUAACCCGUUGAAAGACGGACUAAUACCCUAUAACACAGGGGUCCCGCAUGGGAAUAUUUGUUAAAGGACAACCGGUUGAAGAUGGGCAUGCGUUCCAUUAGCUAGUUGGCGGGGUAACGGCCCACCAAGGCAACGAUGGAUAGGGGAACUGAGAGGUUUAUCCCCCACACUGGGUACUGAGACACGGACCAGACUCCUACGGGAGGCAGCAGUGAGGAAUAUUGGUCAAUGGACGCAAGUCUGAACCAGCCACGUCGCGUGAAGGAAGACGGCCCUACGGGUUGUAAACUUCUUUUGUAAGGGAAUAAAGUGUAGUACGCGUACUAUUUUGCAUGUACCUUACG
rnacentral:rRNA from 1 species